UCCGCCAGACCAGAGCAGCUGAUCUGCUGAUAGCGUCGAUACUACCGUCGGCAGUGGCUCUAACAGCUGUUGGGCGCGGGCAACGGCCGCAGCCAUGGCAACCAAGCAGCUGGCCAGGCGACUCGGGCUGGUCCGGACUCGCUCCGCGCACGGCCGGGCCGGGCUGGCGGCCCCCUCACGGCAGCACUUCCGCUACGCUGUGGUGAUGGACUUCGAGUCCACAUGCUGGAGCGGCGGGACGAUCCGCUACAGCCCCGAGAUCAGUAAGUGGCAGCGGCGGGAGUUUUGCCUCGUUAGGCCGGCAAGUGCCGCGGGGGCCUCCCGAGCUGAGUUUUUCUCUCGGGAAAAGGCCCCUGGGAUCUUGUUGCAGAGCCAGGUGCUUUCACAGAGGACUGGUCCGGACGACUCCGCUGGUCUACUACAACAUCUCACAUCUACUCAAGGAACCUGGCCUGCCCCUGGAAAGUCACUCAGUUAUUCAGGGAUGACUUGGAUAUUGCAGCCUGCUGGAUCGCGAGCGUGCUUCGGGUGCUCUUGUUCAUGCCCCGAGGUGCUGCAGCACAUGGGAUCCAGAAACAGUGUCGUCAGUAAUACACAGAAAACGGGAAAAAUUCCACUCAUGAAUUCUCUCUCUUUAGGGGUAUCAGUGGUGACGUGUAGGGGGUUGGUGAGAUCGGCCGCGGGGGACCC